GCAAGUCGAACGAGAACCUGGCUUCGGCCAGGGGACAGUGGCGAACGGGUGAGUAACACGUGAGAAACCUGCCCUAGAGACCGGGACAACCAUUGGAAACGAUGGCUAAUACCGGAUGCCCUCACAUGGCCGCAUGGCCGAGUGAGGAAAUGCUCUGGCGCUCUAGGAGGGUCUCGCGGCCUAUCAGCUAGUUGGUGGGGUAACGGCCUACCAAGGCAUCGACGGGUAGCUGGUCUGAGAGGACGAUCAGCCACACUGGGACUGAGACACGGCCCAGACUCCUACGGGAGGCAGCAGUAGGGAAUCUUGCGCAAUGGGGGAAACCCUGACGCAGCAACGCCGCGUGUGGGAUGACGGCUUUCGGGUUGUAAACCACUUUCAGUGAUGACGAAAAUGACGGUAAUCACAGAAGAAGGUCCGGCCAACUACGUGCCAGCAGCCGCGGUAACACGUAGGGACCGAGCGUUGUCCGGAUUUAUUGGGCGUAAAGAGCUCGUAGGCGGUUUCGUAAGUCGGAUGUGAAAACUCAGGGCUCAACCCUGAGACGCCAUCUGAUACUGCGAUGACUGGAGUCCGGUAGGGGAGCAUGGAAUUCCUGGUGUAGCGGUGGAAUGCGCAGAUAUCAGGAGGAACACCAAUGGCGAAGGCAGUGCUCUGGGCCGGUACUGACGCUGAGGAGCGAAAGCAUGGGGAGCAAACAGGAUUAGAUACCCUGGUAGUCCAUGCCGUAAACGUUGGGCACUAGGUGUGGGGUCUUCUAACGGAUUCCGUGCCGUAGCUAACGCAUUAAGUGCCCCGCCUGGGGAGUACGGCCGCAAGGCUAAUACUCAAAGGAAUUGACGGGGGCCCGCACAAGCGGCGGAGCAUGUUGCUUAAUU
rnacentral:rRNA from 1 species